rnacentral:lncRNA from 1 species
AUGGCUCAAAAGGCACACCAAAGGAUCGCAGUAUUAAUUUUGAGUUCUGUAAUAAUUAGGUACCUUCAGAGAGCAUCUACUCUUCUAGCCAAAGGAAAUCAAGAAGUGAGCACACAGACAGCAGGAGGCCCUUCCAAAACAGAAGUUCUUAACCAAGGAUCCACAUCAGAAUCAUCUACAGGACUUCAUAACGUAAACACCCAGGUUCUCCACGCCCUAAAAACUCUAAUAAGCGCUUCCCAUCUCAGUGGCAAUGUCACUCUUCUCAGACACGCAGCCAAAGACCCUGUAGUAUUCUUCUCAUACUCCAUAUCCAAAUCUAUCAGUGAAAGCUAUCAGUGCUGCUUUCCAAAUACAUCGAGACCUGAACCAUCAGUCCAAGCCACCACCACCAUCUGUGUAACUACAACAACCUCCUCAAUGGUCUGCUUCUGCUCUGUCUUCCUUCAAGUCUAUUCUCAUUAGAGCAACCGCAAUGAUCCUGUUAAAAUGUAUACUGCAAUGUUCCCACGACUUCCCAUCUCAGAGUAAAAUUAAAAUAACCUCAAUGGUCUUUAAGGCUGUAUAUGUUUUCACCCAGCUACUCCGACAUCUCUUCCAACAUCAUCUUCCGUGGUUCUUUCCCCGUUUGUUCUGCUGCUGCUGCCACAGCCUCCCUUCCUGUUCGUCACCUACACCAAGCGAAUUCUUGCUUCACGGCCUUUGUCCUGCUGCUCCCCGUGGGAUACGAGCACAGAGUCUGCUUGUCCCUCUUGCUCUGCUCCUCCUCUCUGUCUUUCUCUCAAAUAAAUAAAAUAUUUAAAAAAAGAAAAAGUUCAGAGUACCAAACUGGAAAAUACGCUCAUCAGAAACAAUAACGUGGGGGGGAAAAAAAAGGAAAAAGAAACAGUAACAUGAGAAGCACAACUGGAGGAAAUCACAGUAAUUGUAAAUCACUUACUCUCUUCAUCAAAGUUCAGCUGUUAAAGAGAUGCCCCUAAGAAACAGAGCUAUCAUUUUAAGACAACGCCCACCACCUACCUUUGGAAACGUUCAGAACAAUGUAACAAGAAUCUAAAGCUGCUUCAUCAAAAAAUCUGUGAGAACUGAUGAAUGAAUUCAGUAAAGUCACAGAAUACAAAGUCAAUGUACAAAAAUCUGUUGCAUUUCUAUACACUAAUACUAAAGCAGCAGAAAGGGAAAUUAAGAAAAUAAUCCAUUUCCAACCACACCAAAAAUACUAAGAUACCUAGGAAUAAGCCUAAUCAAAGAGCUGAAAGACCUGUACUCUACAGUUUUCUACCUACAGAGCACUGAUGAAAGAAACUGAGAGGACACAAAGAAAUAGAAAGACAUCUCACAGAUGGGAAGAAAAAAAUACCGUUAAAAUGUCUAUACGACCCAAAGCAAUCUACACAUUUAAUGCAAUCCCUAUCAAAAUAUCAACAGCUUUUUUCACAGAACCAGAACAAGGGCAUCUGGAUGGUUCAGUCGGUUAAGUAUCUGCCUUCGAUCCAGGUCAUAAUCCUGGGGUUCUGGGAUGGAGCCUGACGCCAGGAUCCUUGCUCAGUGAGGAGCCUGCUUCUCCCUCUCCCUCUCCUGCAUCUUAUGCUCUCUAAUAAAUUAAAUCUUUCAAAAAAGAUGGUUAAAAAAAUAAAUUUUUUUUUAAAAAAGAACUAGAACAAAUAACCCUAAUGUGUGUAUGGAACCACAAAAGUCCCUGAACAGCCAAAGCAAUCUUGAAGAAGAAAAGCAAAGCUGGAGGCAUCAUGUUCCAGACUUGAAGUGAUAUUACAAAGCUGCAGUAACCAGAACAAUAUGGCACUGGCACAAAAAUAGACAUACAGAUCAAUGAACAGAAAAGAAAACCUAGAAAUGAACCCUCAAUUAUACGGUCAAUUAAUCUUCAAUAUGGCAGGAAAGAAUAUCCAAUGGAGAAAACAAAUGGUUUGGGAGAACUGGACAGCAGUUGCGAAAGAAUGAAACCGGAUCCCUUUCUUAGAUCAUACCCAAAAAAUAAAUUCAAAAAGGAUUAAAGACCUAAACAUGAGACCUGAAACCAUAAAUAUUCUAGAAGAGAACACAAGCAGUAAUUUCUCUGACACCAGCUGAAGCAACUUUCCAGAUCUGUCUCUGGAGUCAAGGGAAACAAAAGCAAAAAUAAACUACUAAGACUAUAUCAAAAUACAAUGCCUCAGUGAAGGAAACAACCAGUAAAACUAAAAGGCAACAUAUGGAAAGGGAGAAGAUACUCGCAAAUGACAUAUCUGAUAAAGGGUUAGCACUCAAAAUAUAUAAAGAGCUUAUAAAACUCAACACCCCAAAACCGAAUAAUCCAAUUAAAAAACAGGCAGAACAUAUGAACAGAUACUUCUCCAAAGAAAACAUCCAGAUGGCCAGCAAACACAUGAAAAGAUGCUCCACAUCACUCAUCACCAGGG